GGCUUCACCAGCAGACUUCGUCCGGACUCCUACGGGAGCCGGACUUUGCAUCUGACUUUAAUUGCAGGUGGACUUCGUCCGGACUCCUACGGGAACCGGACCUCGCACCUGACUUUAAUUGCAGGUGGAUUUCGUCCGGACUCCUACGGAAGCCGGAUCUCGCACCUGACUUUAAUUGCAGGUAGAUUUCGUCCAGACUCCUACGGAAGCCAGACCUCGUCUCCAACUUCGGCUACGGGAAGACUCCGCCCGGAAUCCUACGGGAGCCGGACUUCAUCCUCGACCUCGACUGAUGGUAAAACUUCAUCCGAACUCCUACAGGAGCCGGGCUCCACCCUCUGCUUCGCUUACAGGUGAACUUCGUCUGGACUCCUACGGGGGUCGGACUUCGCCCCUGACUUUAAUUGCAGGUAGACUUCGCCCAGAUCCCUGCGGGAGCCAGACCUCAUCUCCGACUCCGGCUACGGGAAGACCCCACCCGUAUUCCUACGGGAGCCGGACUUCACCCCCGACUUUGACUGAAGGGAGAUUCCAUCCGAACUUCUGCGAGAGCCGUACUUCUAGCUCCUCUCAGACGGGUGGCUAGCCACCUCUCUCCGCCAUACACCCUAGCCAAACUCCGAUCGAUAGGCUCCAUCACUCCCUGGCAGACCGCAAUAACGGCCACGGCGCUGCUCCACUUCCUGCGACGGAUUUCACGCGACUCCAUCACUUCCUGGCAGACCGCAGUAACGGCCACGGCGCUGCUCCACUUCCUGCGACGGAUUCCACGCGGCUCCAUCACUCCC
rnacentral:lncRNA from 1 species